rnacentral:lncRNA from 1 species
GUCAACACAUGAGGACCACAUCGGUGGUAUACCUUGUCCUCCAGAUUCCAAUUGGGUUUUGCAAAUGGCGGAAAGGAGAAGAAUGAGGGACUCAAUAGUUAUCAUCAUCAUCAUCAUCAUCAUCAUCAUCAAUCAGAAUAAUGAGUUUCUACGUGACAAGAAGAAAGAGUUCCUUCUCUUAGCCAAUCACAUUUCAGGACAAUUACUGGAAGAACU